rnacentral:rRNA from 1 species
UACAGAGGUGGCAAGCGUUGUUCGGAAUUACUGGGCGUAAAGGGCGCGUAGGCGGCCUUCUAAGUCAGACGUGAAAUCCCCCGGCUUAACCUGGGAACUGCGUCUGAUACUGGGAGGCUUGAGUAUGGGAGAGGGAUGUAGAAUUCCCGGUGUAGAGGUGAAAUUCGUAGAUAUCGGGAGGAACACCAGUGGCGAAGGCGGCGAUCUGGGAAGAUACUGACGCUGAGGUGCGAAAGCGUGGGGAGCAAACAGG